rnacentral:rRNA from 1 species
GGACGAACGCUGGCGGCGUGCCUAACACAUGCAAGUCGAACGGGGUAAUUCUUCGGAGAUUACUUGGUGGCGAACGGGUGAGUAACGCGUGAGAAACCUGCCUUUCAGUGGGGGACAACAGUUGGAAACGACUGCUAAUACCGCAUAAUGUUAUUUGGGGGCAUCCUCGAAUAACCAAAGCUUAAUGUGCUGAAAGAUGGUCUCGCGUCUGAUUAGCUAGAUGGCGGGGUAACGGCCCACCAUGGCGACGAUCAGUAGCCGGUCUGAGAGGAUGAACGGCCACAUUGGGACUGAGAUACGGCCCAGACUCCUACGGGAGGCAGCAGUGGGGAAUAUUGCACAAUGGGGGAAACCCUGAUGCAGCGACGCCGCGUGAGUGAAGAAGUAUUUCGGUAUGUAAAGCUCUAUCAGCAAGGAAGAAAAUGACGGUACUUGACUAAGAAGCCCCGGCUAACUACGUG